rnacentral:rRNA from 1 species
UGUAAGCGUAUACCAAAGUUGUUGCAGUUAAAACGCUCGUAGUCGGAAUUUGGCAGUUCCGGAAGUGUGCACGUCGUGUGCGCACUUCGCGGGGACUGCUUUUGUGGUCUUGCGUAGGAUGAGGCACUUUCAUUAGUGAACGUCCUCACGCAACCACUCUUUACUGUGAGAAAAUCAGAGUGCUCAAAGCAGGCAUUUGCCGUGAAUGUAUUAGCAUGGAAUAAUAGAAUAGGACUCGGUUCUAUUUUGUUGGUUUGUUGGGACUGAGUAAUGAUUAAGAGGGACAGUUGGGGGCAUUUGUAUUCCGGCGCUAGAGGUGAAAUUCUUAGAUUGCCGGAAGACAAACUGCUGCGAAAGCGUCUGCCAAGGAUGUUUUCAUUGA